UUAUACAGUCAGAGCUAUAAAUCUCUCCCUGUGUGAUACGGAGUAAGAAAGAUUUGGUGAGAAUAUCGUUUCAGGCGUCCAUUAAUUGAUUGACGAUCUGAUUGUUGCUCUUCAACAU